rnacentral:rRNA from 1 species
GACGAACGCUGGCGGCGUGCUUAACACAUGCAAGUCGAACGGUAAGGCCCUUCGGGGUACACGAGUGGCGAACGGGUGAGUAACACGUGGGUGAUCUGCCCUGCACUUCGGGAUAAGCCUGGGAAACUGGGUCUAAUACCGGAUAGGACUCCUGGCUUCAUGGUUGGGGGUGGAAAGCUUUUGCGGGGUGGGAUGGGCCCGCGGCCUAUCAGCUUGUUGGUGGGGUACUGGCCUACCAAGGCGACGACGGGUAGCCGGCCUGAGAGGGUGACCGGUCACACUGGGACUGGGGUACGGCCCAGACUCCUACGGGAGGAAGCAGUGGGGAAUAUUGCACAAUGGGCGCAAGCCUGAUGCAGCGACGCCGCGUGAGGGAUGACGGCCUUCGGGUUGUAAACCUCUUUCAGCUAUGACGAAGCGCAAGUGACGGUAGUAGCAGAAGAAGGACCGGCCAACUACGUGCCAGCAGCCGCGGUAA